rnacentral:rRNA from 1 species
AUUGAACGCUGGCGGCAUGCUUUACACAUGCAAGUCGAACGGUAACAGGCCUUCGGGCGCUGACGAGUGGCGAACGGGUGAGUAAUGCAUCGGAACGUGCCCAGAGGUGGGGAUAACGCAGCGAAAGCUGUGCUAAUACCGCAUAUUAUCUGAGGAUGAAAGCGGGGGACUAAGCAGCAAUGUUUGGCCUCGCGCCUUUGGAGCGGCCGAUGUCAGAUUAGGUAGUUGGUGGGGUAAAAGGCCUACCAAGCCGACGAUCUGUAGCUGGUCUGAGAGGACGACCAGCCACACUGGGACUGAGACACGGCCCAGACUCCUACGGGAGGCAGCAGUGGGGAAUUUUGGACAAUGGACGCAAGCCUGAUCCAGCAAUGCCGCGUGCAGGAAGAAGGCCUUCGGGUUGUAAACUGCUUUUGUACGGAACGAAAAGGCUCUGGUUAAUACCUGGGGCUCAUGACGGUACCGUAAGAAUAAGCACCGGCUAACUACGUG